AUGCAAAGCCGGAAGUCUGUAUUCGCAAAGGCGUGUUUGUGAGCGUGAAUGUGUGAACGGAGAGCGUUUGUGGGAGUGAAUGUAGAGUGAUUGUGUGUUUGUUUCUGGAGUGAGUGUAUAUCUUUGUAAAAACCUACACAGUGAUCUUAUUUGAUCCGGUCAGAGUUCGGCUCUGCUCUGAUCGGAGAUGAUAGGAAAAGCGCUCGCGAGCUUCCGCUAAAGGUGGACAGCGAUGAGCAGCUGGCGAAAAACGAGCUCCAGGGCCUCCACGCUUCGUGCUGUGGUCAGAAGUGAUGAAUUGAUCAGAUAUACUAGUUCUGGGUCAGCUUGAGGUUCGCCUUUAAGCUUCACCUGUGUGGACAAUGAGUAAAGAGGCGAUUCUGAUCUAA